GCAUAUCAAUAAGCGGAGGAAAAGAAACCAACAGGGAUUGCCUCAGUAACGGCGAGUGAAGCGGCAACAGCUCAAAUUUGAAAUCUGGCCUCACGGUCCGAGUUGUAAUUUGUAGAGGAUGCUUUUGGCGAGGUGCUUUCCGAGUUCCCUGGAACGGGACGCCAUAGAGGGUGAGAGCCCCGUACGGUAAGACCACCGAGCCUCUGUAAAGCUCCUUCGACGAGUCGAGUAGUUUGGGAAUGCUGCUCUAAAUGGGAGGUGUACGUCUUCUAAAGCUAAAUACCGGCCAGAGACCGAUAGCGCACAAGUAGAGUGAUCGAAAGAUGAAAAGCACUUUGAAAAGAGGGUUAAAAAGUACGUGAAAUUGUUGAAAGGGAAGCAUUCAUGACCAGACUUGGGCUUGGUUGAACAUCCGGCGUUCUCGCCGGUGCACUCUGCCAGUCCAGGCCAGCAUCAGUUUGCCCCGGGGGACAAAGGCGGUGGGAAUGUGGCUCUCUUCGGGGAGUGUUAUAGCCCGCCGUGUAAUGCCCUGGGGUGGACUGAGGAACGCGCUUCGGCACGGAUGCUGGCGUAAUGGUCAUCAAUGACCCGUCUUGAAACACGGACC
rnacentral:rRNA from 1 species